GCCGCAAAGCAUAUGCUACUUCCUUCGCAUAACUCCAGAGUGGUGUGAAAUUAUAUUUCUGUCAAGGCACUAUGCACCUAAUACAAUGAAGAUGUAUUCAAGAAACUUCCCAAAACACAUGAAGUGAACUUUCUGACGAUAUAAGAACCUGAUGAGCUGCUAUUAAGAUCAAACCAACAAAGGAAUGUAAUCAUUGGAUUUUCACCAUGGAACUCAUUUUGUACAUUGCUUUGAAACGGAAUUUGCCAAAAUUCCAUUCAACUUC